GGGCCCUACGGGAGGCAGCAGUGGGGGAUAUUGCACAAUGGGGGAAACCCUGAUGCAGCGACGCCGCGUGGGCGAAGAAGUAUUUCGGUAUGUAAAGCCCUAUCAGCAGGGAAGAAGAAAUGACGGUACCUGAGUAAGAAGCACCGGCUAAAUACGUGCCAGCAGCCGCGGUAAUACGUAUGGUGCAAGCGUUAUCCGGAUUUACUGGGUGUAAAGGGAGCGCAGGCGGCAUGUCAAGUCAAGGGUGAAAUCCCCGCGCUCAACGUGGGAACUGCCUUUGAAACUGGCAAACUGGAGUGUGUGAG
rnacentral:rRNA from 1 species